rnacentral:rRNA from 1 species
GAUGAACGCUGGCGGCGUGCCUAAUACAUGCAAGUCGAGCGAACGGACGAGAAGCUUGCUUUUCUGAUGUUAGCGGCGGACGGGUGAGUAACACGUGGAUAACCUACCUAUAAGACUGGGAUAACUUCGGGAAACCGGAGCUAAUACCGGAUAAUCUUUUGAACCGCAUGGUUCAAAAGUGAAAGACGGUCUUGCUGUCACUUCUAGAUGGAUCCGCGCUGCAUUAGCUAGUUGGUAAGGUAACGGCUUACCAAGGCAACGAUGCAUAGCCGACCUGAGAGGGUGAUAGGCCACACGGGAACGGAGACACGGUCAAGACUACUACGGGAGGCAGCAGUAGGGAAUCUUCCGCAAUGGGCGAAAGCCUGACGGAGCAACGCCGCGUGAGUGAUGAAGGUCUUCGGAUCGUAAAAAUCUGUUAUUAGGGAAGAACAUAUGUGUAAGGAACUGUGGACAUCUUGACGGUAACUAAUCAGAAAGCAACGGCUAACUACGUG